CCUACGGGAGGCAGCAGUGAGGAAUAUUGGUCAAUGGGCGUAAGCCUGACCCAGCGAAGUCGCGUGAGGGAUGAAGGUUCUAUGGAUCGUAAACCUCUUUUAUAAGGGAGUAAGGUGCGGGACGUGUCCCGUUUUGAAUGUACCUUAUGAGUAAGGAACGGCUAACUCCGGGCCAGCAGCCGCGGUAAUACGGAGGAUCCGAGCGUUAUCCGGAUUUAUUGGGUUUAAAGGGUGCGUAGGCGGCCUGUUAAGUCAGCGGUGAAAGUCUGUGGCUCAACCAUAGAAUUGCCUUUGAAACUGGCAGGCUUGAGUAUGUUUGAGGCAGGCGGAAUGCGUGGUGUAGCGGUGAAAUGCUUAGAUAUCACGCAGAACCUCGAUUGCGAAGGCAGCCUGCCAAGCCAUGACUGACGCUGAGGCACGAAAGCGUGGGGAUCAAACAGGAUUAGAUACCCUUGUAGUC
rnacentral:rRNA from 1 species